AAAUGCGAUAAGUAGUGUGAAUUGCAGAAUUCAGUGAAUCAUCGAAUCUUUGAACGCACAUUGCGCCCCUUGGUAUUCCAUGGGGCAUGCCUGUUCGAGCGUCAUUUGUACCCUCAAGCUCUGCUUGGUGUUGGGUGUUUGUCCCCGUCUCCGCGCGUGGACUCGCCCCAAAGUGAUUGGCAGCCGGCGUACUGGUCCCGGAGCGCAGCACAUGUCGCACAAACGAGUGCCUUGGUACGGCGGCGUCCAUAAGCCCCUCUCUCACGCUCUUGACCUCGGAUCAGGUAGGGAUACCCGCUGAACUUAAGC
rnacentral:misc_RNA from 1 species